rnacentral:rRNA from 1 species
AGAGGGUGCGAGCGUUAAUCGGAUUUACUGGGCGUAAAGCGUGCGUAGGCGGCUGAUUAAGUCGGAUGUGAAAUCCCUGAGCUUAACUUAGGAAUUGCAUUCGAUACUGGUCAGCUAGAGUAUGGGAGAGGAUGGUAGAAUUCCAGGUGUAGCGGUGAAAUGCGUAGAGAUCUGGAGGAAUACCGAUGGCGAAGGCAGCCAUCUGGCCUAAUACUGACGCUGAGGUACGAAAGCAUGGGGAGCAAACAGGAUUAGAUACCCUGGUAGUCCAUGCCGUAAACGAUGUCUACUAGCCGUUGGGGCCUUUGAGGCUUUAGUGGCGCASUAACGCGAUAAGUAGACCGCCUGGGAGUA